rnacentral:misc_RNA from 1 species
GGUAAGCCAAAAAUUAUUUCACAAGUACACUAUCCUUUACUUGUGCUCCAAAACCCUAGCCCUAAAACCCUCUGCCAAAGUGAGACACUUUGCUCGAGCGAUAUGUCGGGAAGAGGAGAAGAUAGUGAUUCCGAUGCGCCGGAAGAACUAACUUCCGUACAGGGAAUUCAAAACAAUGAGGAGAUUAGAAAAGUUGAAAAAGAACACAAGGCUAGAGUUGUUCGGGAAAGGAAGGAACGUCGUAGACAAUGGGCUCAAAAGUUAACUCCACGACCUAAACAAAAUGAUGAAAGCAUUGAAGACACAAAAGAACCUGAAGAUGCCCAAGAGUCAAAGGACAAUAGAGGGAUGCUGCCUGAUGAGAUUGUAAAAAUUCUUGCAGCUCGUGAAAAGAAAGUUUUCUCGUCAGACUCGGAAGAAGAACAUGAGAAGCAGCCUACAUCUAAAAACAAAAGAUCCAAGAGCUCUGGGUCUGGACCAGUUAUUUUGAAGGAUCUACCACCUCCUCCGUGCUUAGAGAGCUCACUGGCAUUCUUGAAGAAACGUAAGAUGCAGGUGUCAAGAUCAUCAGCUGUUCUGAACAAUUCCAGUCAAGCAUUACGCCUUCUAUCUACAUCUGGCUUGCUACGUACGAAAUGAUAGGUGAUGAUUUUGAAGAUUUUAGCCCGAGUGAUGUCAAUGCUGUAUUGCUUGCUGUAAUGAGAAUAUGCUGGUAGAGGUGUUAAAUGGCGAGCUGGUUUUGGACACUGAUGGGUAAACCAAAAAAACAAAACAAAACAUUGUAACAACUUUUUGAUGGUAUAUUGCAAUUUUAUUGAUACUUGUGGGUAGGAACUGCUGAACUGUUUACACUGCAACAGUCUCAUCUCAGUCAAGUGUUGAAUCAUUAAG